rnacentral:piRNA from 1 species
UGUUAAAACAACUGAUUGGUAGUACC